GAAGGAAGGAUCUAGAAGAAACAUCGGUCACUGCUUUGAUUAUAAAGGUUGAUUCAGUUGAUCUGACUGGUUAGAGUGAAACCAGUUCCUCCUUCACAGUUUCUUAGGCUUUCCUCUUAGCAGUGCAAACUUGGGCAAAAAGAUGACUUUCCCCAGGGGGAAGAAAUAGCCCUCAGGAAAAUUUAUCAGUAUUAGCUAGAGCAAAUCUAACUUCACAGCUUGGUCUUUGGCCAUAACUGAGAUUUAAAUGACAUAAAAAGCAGGGAUGAGAAUGACUAGAUCCUGAUCUGAUGUUCCUUAAUUU
rnacentral:snRNA from 14 species